rnacentral:rRNA from 1 species
GAUGAACGCUGGCGGCGUGCCUAAUACAUGCAAGUCGAGCGAACAGAUGAGGAGCUUGCUCCUUUGACGUUAGCGGCGGACGGGUGAGUAACACGUGGGUAACUUACCUAUAAGACUGGGAUAACUUCGGGAAACCGGGGCUAAUGCCGGAUAAUAUUUAGAACCGCAUGGUUCUAAAGUGAAAGAUGGUUUUGCUAUCACUUAUAGAUGGACCCGCGCCGUAUUAGCUAGUUGGUAAGGUAACGGCUUACCAAGGCAACGAUACGUAGCCGACCUGAGAGGGUGAUCGGCCACACUGGAACUGAGACACGGUCCAGACUCCUACGGGAGGCAGCAGUAGGGAAUCUUCCGCAAUGGGCGAAAGCCUGACGGAGCAACGCCGCGUGAGUGAUGAAGGUCUUCGGAUCGUAAAACUCUGUUAUUAGGGAAGAACAAAUGUGUAAGUAACUGUGCACGUCUUGACGGUACCUAAUCAGAAAGCCACGGCUAACUACGUG